UACGUAGGGGGCAAGCGUUGUCCGGAUUCAUUGGGCGUAAAGAGCGUGUAGGCGGCCUGGAAGGUCAGCUGUGAAAACUCGAGGCUCAACCUCGAGACGUCGGUUGAAACCACCUGGCUAGAGUCCGGAAGAGGAGUGUGGAAUUCCCGGUGUAGCGGUGGAAUGCGCAGAUAUCGGGAGGAACACCCGUGGCGAAGGCGGCCCUCUGGGACGGUACUGACGCUGAGACGCGAAAGCGUGGGGAGCGAACAGG
rnacentral:rRNA from 1 species